rnacentral:lncRNA from 1 species
GCUGCACGUCCAAUACAGUAGUCACUCCACAUGUGGCUGUUGAACACCAGAAAUGUGGCCAGCAUGACUGAGCUUUACUGUUUUGAUAGGACUACACUUGAUUUCAGCUGUGACAUCAUGUGAGACAUUAGUGUUGCAGAGCACAUGUCAGCACAGAGAUCCUCUAAAGAGUUUUACAAGCCUGCCUACACAAACGGACACAUCUCUGAAGAUAUACCUGUCUCCCCAAGCCGUGGACAUUUACAAUGAAACCUUUCAACUCUGAGCCUUUUGCAACCAUGAUUUCAAAACAGAAGACACAGGUUCGGGAAUAGACCAUAAAUACUCCAAACAGGACUUCCACAGGGCUUCUCUGCUACCAGGAGAUGGCCUACGGCUGGUGAGGGAGUCUGCGUGGGACAUGAUUAAUAAGAGACCUUUGGGAGACAGAAAUGUUCUGUAAACAGCAAUGUAGGUAGAUCUGAAGAUCAAUAGCUUUGGGGAAACUGAAAGUCUAAAAUUUACUCAGGUCUACUUUUUGUUUAUUUCUUUAAUGCACAGAUAUUCCGAGAUUUCACUUUACCAGCAUCUUCAUUUUAAAUAACAUCCAUACACAACCUGAACUGCAGAAGUUUAGAAACUAAAUGCCUAUCUGUCCCUCUAUUUAAUUAACAAACACAUUCACAUCUAACCAUCGCGGAUCUUGAGUGACUUUCCUUUCUUCCAUACGUGAACAUAAUAAAGUGCCCCUCCGCUCCCAUGCC